UAACAAGGUUUCCGUAGGUGAACCUGCGGAAGGAUCAUUAAAGAGUAAGGGUGCUCAGCGCCCGACCUCCAACCCUUUGUUGUUAAAACUACCUUGUUGCUUUGGCGGGACCGCUCGGUCUCGAGCCGCUGGGGAUUCGUCCCAGGCGAGCGCCCGCCAGAGUUAAACCAAACUCUUGUUAUUUAACCGGUCGUCUGAGUUAAAAUUUUGAAUAAAUCAAAACUUUCAACAACGGAUCUCUUGGUUCUCGCAUCGAUGAAGAACGCAGCGAAAUGCGAUAAGUAAUGUGAAUUGCAGAAUUCAGUGAAUCAUCGAAUCUUUGAACGCACAUUGCGCCCCUUGGUAUUCCGAGGGGCAUGCCUGUUCGAGCGUCAUUACACCACUCAAGCUAUGCUUGGUAUUGGGCGUCGUCCUUAGUUGGGCGCGCCUUAAAGACCUCGGCGAGGCCACUCCGGCUUUAGGCGUAGUAGAAUUUAUUCGAACGUCUGUCAAAGGAGAGGAACUCUGCCGACUGAAACCUUUAUUUUUCUAGGUUGACCUCGGAUCAGGUAGGGAUACCCGCUGAACUUAAGCUAUCAU
rnacentral:rRNA from 1 species